rnacentral:lncRNA from 1 species
AAAUGUAAAAGUGGGACUGAACUUCCAGAUCUGUGUAUAACUUAUGGGCAAGUGUGGUCUUCCCUACGCCACCCUUGCCGUAUAUGCAAAUAACUCUGUCUUUGCCAUCAAGCAGAGCAGAUUUUAGAGUUUGAAGGCUGUGAUCCUUCACAACAAUAUCGUUUUCUCCAGAGUCAAAGAUGCGUCUCCUCAACUUUGGUCGGAUCUCGGUUUCUCUAUUCUCAUUUGCUGACUGAGAUAUUUCUUCUGUCGGACUGAAUGAUUUUAAAGUUUUAAAAUGCCAAGUGGUCAUCCUUAUCUGCAUACUAAUUUCUUUAACAUCUAAAUCAGCCAUCCGCACGGACUUGAAAUCAUCAAUGAAUUUUCCAACUAUGCUUCUGCCUCUUCUGCGUUGGACCUCAUUGAAAUAAAUUUCAAGGACAUUUUGAAGUCUUGAAACAAAGUCUCUAAUUUCCCUUUCCAGGUAAUGUUCACUUGACCCUUACUUUUUUUCUUAUCUAGAUCUUUUAAUAAACGGUGCCAAAAUCUAGCUUCCGUUGUUUAUAUCAGGAACUAAAUAUGUUCGAAAUUCUUGUAACGAUCCAUCAUUUUCAUAUCCAUUGAUCAAUGAGUCAUCCAUUUUCUUUCUCACAGUAGGGACCAGCAAAAGAUUCUGAAAUUUUGGUCAGAUAUUUCUCAAUAGUGUCAAGUUACAUUCCUCAUCAUUGCAUCGCACUCAUAUGCAUCCCAACUCAGAGGAACUGUAAUAACUUAAUGUGUACCUAUCACAACAGAGAAAAUGUUUAUCCCGUUAAUCAAUCUGGUCUAUAAGUAGUUCCAAACUAAUUGCAUCACUUUUCUCUUUUGACAAGAUCUAUAACUUCAUUAAUCCAUAUCACCACGAGUCGUGGUUGACAACUAUAAUGGAAUGCAAAUUAGUCCAACUAGUGAUAUCAAAAGUUGGAGAACAAAGGAUGCUACAGUGUGGGCUACUUCUUUCCUCCCGUGGGAAUGAGGCAAUAAGACCAAAAUUGACAGCACCAAAUAGUGUUACAAUACCACAAUUUCAUCCACUUUUAAUCUGUUUACAUUUUGAUCUCAGAUUGUAAUGCUCUUUCGGAGAAAAUUCAAAUAAGAUAUAGUUAUAUAGAGAGGAAAAUAAAAACUUUUUGAGGCGUGGUUAAAUUGAUACAAGAAAGAACUUUUUGAUAAUAAUUGGUUUAAAUAUGCUCCUAGGAGAGAAGUAAUUCAAUAUUCAGUUCCGAUAAUCAGCAAAUUUUCAAUAAAAAUGUUAGAUUUUAUAGAUUUUUCAAAUGGCCCACAUGCUACUCCAAAUUCUCAUCUACACAACUCAUACCACCACCAAAUACUUUUAAAUCUCUUCAACUUCCUGUAUUUAUAAUUUACGUUUGCUCGUUUUCACCAACAAAUUGAAGUUGUGCAAAAACGCACUUUCGCAAAUAUCAAUGUUAUUCUAAUUGAUAUCGAACCAAAAACAGGGAUUUUUCUCAUAAAAGCCACUAAUUACAGCUUCAUUUGAAUUUUUGCUUACUGAGAAAUGAAAUCCAUAACUAAUAUGCAUAUGACAUAUGAGUAUGAGUACACUUACUUGGAGAUUGCAACGUAGAAUCUCUGGUCAGUAUCUCCUUCAGGAUGCAAUCAGUCGUAAGUACGGCUUCACAGUUCUAACCCAUAUGAAUCAAAUUUUGUCCUAAAAGUCUUACCUAAAGAGGCUGGCCAUAUGGAUGCCAAUUAUUUUAAUAUUUUGGUUGACUGCAAUGUCAUUUUUUAAUUUUUCAUUUUUUUUAUUUUUUUGUCUAUCCACGAGAAUAUGUUUCUUAAAAUACACGUCCAUGUCCGUAACAACAAGUUGCAUACCUAACCUAAAGAUUAACAUGUACACGUUACCAAUACAAUACAAUAUAAUUUUUCUCCCUUAUUUUUAUCAAUACAAUAUUUCAUAAAAUAAUAUUCACGUAAAAUGAAAAAAAUUCUUCUUUUUUAACCUCACAUUCUGUAAAAAAACAUUAUUCCAACAAUUAUAGCCCCAAAUAGUAUUCUAACUUCAUAAUCUUGUAGCAAUAGUUUUCUAAAGUUCAUAAUUUUGUAGUAAUUGUGUUCUCAUAAAUCAUGUUCUCAAUCAAAUAUAUAAAACAUUAUUCUACUGUGAAAGUUAAUUAGAUAUUUGAUUCAAGAACUAGUUUCUAUUAUAUCAUGAUAAACCAAAUAUACAUAAAUAUAAAUUUAAACAUUAACAGAUUUCACUUUUAUCGAUAUAAAUCAAACUUGUAAGGUACAAUAAUUUUAUAUAUUUGAUAAUAAGUAAUACUCUCCUCCACCCAUCUUUUUAUCUUCUUGACCGUCGAUCGACAUGAUGAUAUCUAAUUGUUUGUUUGGCAUAACUUUUGAAAAGCUAAAAUGAGUUUCUAAGAUCUAAAGAUUAUUUUUGGACCCAUUUGACUAAUUCUAUAAAAGUGUUUCUUCUAAAUAGAAGAACUUUUAAUGAAAGUCAAUCGAAAGCUCCUUUUUAAAUUAAUUUUCAAACAAAAAAGAAACUAAUAUCUUCAUAAGAUCUUCCACGAAAAAAGAAAAAAGAAGGAAAAAAAAGAAAGAAAAAAGAAAAGAAAAGAAAGACCAACGAAAAAGUUAUGCCAAAACAUCUAACACCUUGACACCCAUAAUUAAUACGAUAAUGAUGUUAUUGCUGUUGUCAUUCUAUGUGGUCCAAUGUCACAUAUUUUUGUCACUUUCUAUAGCCCAAUGUCACCAGCUCAACACCUAACACCAAUAAUUAAUAUGAUAUGAUUUUUGUUUUCAGGAUUACGAGUGUUUGGGCCAAUUUAGCCACAUCUCGACUAAUUUCACGAAACCUUGAAGUAUACACUCAGGUACUCAUUUCAG